AAUAGAUACCCUGGUAGUCCACCCCGUAAACGUUGGGAACUAGUUGUGGGGUCCUUUCCACGGAUUCCGUGACGCAGCUAACGCAUUAAGUUCCCCGCCUGGGGAGUACGGCCGCAAGGCUAAAACUCAAAGGAAUUGACGGGGACCCGCACAAGCGGCGGAGCAUGCGGAUUAAUUCGAUGCAACGCGAAGAACCUUACCAAGGCUUGACAUACACCAGAACACCCUAGAAAUAGGGGACUCUUUGGACACUGGUGAACAGGUGGUGCAUGGUUGUCGUCAGCUCGUGUCGUGAGAUGUUGGGUUAAGUCCCGCAACGAGCGCAACCCUUGUUCUAUGUUGCCAGCACGUAAUGGUGGGAACUCAUGGGAUACUGCCGGGGUCAACUCGGAGGAAGGUGGGGAUGACGUCAAAUCAUCAUGCCCCUUAUGUCUUGGGCUUCACGCAUGCUACAAUGGCCGGUACAAAGGGCUGCAAUACCGUGAGGUGGAGCGAAUCCCAAAAAGCCGGUCCCAGUUCGGAUUGAGGUCUGCAACUCGACCUC
rnacentral:rRNA from 1 species